rnacentral:rRNA from 1 species
UACGAAGGGGGCUAGCGUUGUUCGGAAUUACUGGGCGUAAAGGGCGCGUAGGCGGCCACCGCAAGUCGGUUGUGAAAUCUCUGGGCUUAACCCAGAAAGGUCAACCGAUACUGCGGGGCUAGAGUGCAGAAGGGGCAACUGGAAUUCUCGGUGUAGCGGUGAAAUGCGUAGAUAUCGAGAGGAACACCUGCGGCGAAGGCGGGUUGCUGGGCUGACACUGACGCUGAAGCGCGAAAGCUAGGGGAGCGAACGGG